rnacentral:lncRNA from 1 species
CAUUAUAAUUUGUUGGGGGCCUGUGUUCAUGCGGCCUAUUCUAAUGUAAAUUUUUAAAUAUAAUUAUUAAUAAACAUAGUUAAUUAUAAUGUAAUUAGACCUCAUUUUUUUAUUUUUUUUUAUUAUCAUUUCAUUAUCAAUAAUAGUAUCUAUAUAUAUAAAUUCUAGAUAGUUGUCUAAUUUACUAUCUAAACCCUAAUCCAUA